AUGGGCUGCCUUGAUGGUCGGCAGCGUGCAGAGUGCACAUUUAUCAGGGUUACCAUGGUUCCCUGUGGGAUUGAGCCUUGGGCUGCCAUGUCAGCAUGCGAGUACACUGUUUACAGGUUACUACAGGUUCCCUGUGAGGACACCCUUUACAGGUUACUACAGGUUCCCUGUGAGGAGAUCCUUUACAGGUUACUGCAGGUUCCCUGUGAGGACACCCUUUACAGGUUACUACAGGUUCCCUGUGAGGACACCCUUUACAGGUUACUGCAGGUUCCCUGUGAGUACACCCUUUACAGGUUACUGCAGGUUCCCCGUGAGUACACCCUUUACAGGUUACUGCAGGUUCCCUGUGAGUACACCCUUUACAGGUUACUGCAGGUUCCCUGUGAGUACACCCUUUACAGGUUACUACAGGUUCCCUGUGAGGACACCCUUUACAGGUUACUGCAGGUUCCCUGUGAGUACACCCUUUACAGGUUACUGCAGGUUCCCCGUGAGUACACCCUUUACAGGUUACUACAGGUUCCCUGUGAGUACACCCUUUACAGGUUACUACAGGUUCCCUGUGAGGACACCCUUUACAGGUUACUGCAGGUUCCCUGUGAGGACACCCUUUACAGGUUACUGCAGGUUCCCCGUGAGUACACCCUUUACAGGUUGUCUACACCCUUUACAGGUUACUACAGGUUCCCUGUGAGGACACCCUUUACAGGUUACUGCAGGUUCCCCGUGAGUACACCCUUUACAGGUUACUGCAGGUUCCCUGUGAGUACACCCUUUACAGGUUACUACAGGUUCCCUGUGAGUACACCCUUUACAGGUUACUGCAGGUUCCCUGUGAGUACACCCUUUACAGGUUACUACAGGUUCCCUGUGAGGACACCCUUUACAGGUUACUACAGGUUCCCUGUGAGGACAUCCUUUACAGGUUACUGCAGGUUCCCUGUGAGGACACCCUUUACAGGUUACUGCAGGUUCCCUGUGAGGACACCCUUUACAGGUUACUACAGGUUCCCUGUGAGGACACCCUUUACAGGUUACUGCAGGUUCCCUGUGAGGACACCCUUUACAGGUUACUACAGGUUCCCUGUGAGGACACCCUUUACAGGUUACUACAGGUUCCCUGUGAGGACACCCUUUACAGGUUACUACAGGUUCCCUGUGAGUACACCCUUUACAGGUUACUACAGGUUCCCUGUGAGGACACCCUUUACAGGUUACUACAGGUUCCCUGUGAGGACACCCUUUACAGGUUACUACAGGUUCCCUGUGAGUACACCCUUUACAGGUCCUGCAGGUUCCCUGUGA
rnacentral:lncRNA from 1 species